rnacentral:lncRNA from 1 species
CUGAGAAAUGGUUCUGUAGGAGCAUAAGCAACAACAUAAGGAAAUUGGUUCACCAGGAGCUUGGGGUACCAAGACAUGACAAUCCUUAGAAUGAAUAAGAACCCAAAAUGCCGAGAGCAAAGAGCCUGUGACUGUGAUAGCAAGUUUUGCUGUGGCAGGGUCAAUAUCUGAUAUUAAGCCCUAUAGGUAAUCUGAUAAAGCUGCAUGUAAGUACUGGGCAACAACUGGUAAAGAAGGUGGACUUCAUCUUGAUGGAUCAUAUAAGCAUAUCUGAAGCAACUGUGAGUGCUGAUCAUUGUGACAUUGAGCAUGCGAUGGAUGCUGAAUCUGCUGGCAGUAUGAUGUAGUUUGCCUCGUUUAAUGCUUAUGAUGGGCAC